GGCGGGCCGGGUAAGGUCCAGCCGUAUCCGCCUCCUUCAUGUCCCGCUGUGGGAGGGGCUCUGGAGCGCCGGGACUGUGAGAUGGCCAAUGACGGUCUGACCCGUUGGGCCGGGCCAGGUCGCGGACAACGUCGACCGUUUGUUUAAGAAGCGUGGACUCUUGUCCUGAGUGCACCGAGGCUUUCAGCCUGCGGGACAGUGGUGCGAUUUGCAUUAGAGAAAGGGAGAUGCCAUGUGCUGGCCCAGCACUCCAACAGGGGCCUGACCUCUAGGAACGGGACACUGGAGGAAGCCUAGACAUCUGAACAAAUCAAGUCAUCCAGAUCCACGGUCAGCUCCUGCCCCGACUUGGCCUUCCUCCUGCUGGGCUGGCCCACGGACCUCGGGAACCUGCCCUGGCUGUGGGUGACCUGCAGCCUAUCUCCCAGGACUAUGGAAGCCCCAUGCAGGAACAUGGUUCUGACACUUUGGGGAUUAUACCCUAAGCUUAAAGGACUGGAAAAGCCCCUGAAGUCCCGAGACCACAACCCUCCACCUUCUAAAGAUAAGACAAGUCACUGAAGGUGGGUAUUGAUCCUAUUUUAAAAUAUUAUAUUUGCAAAGGACAACUGUUUGUCUCUCUUUUCACAGCUGAGCAAAGGAAAAUCCUCUGGGAAGGAGGCAAAUAAUGGAUAACUACUAUUUGGGGCCAGCUCCUGGUUUUGCUUGUCUAUGAUGAGGACUGUGCUAAUAAAUUACUGCCUUUCAGGUUUAAUCAACAUAUUUUGGGCACCUAGUUUUGCUGGAUAUGGCAUUAAGCAUCCUCACACAUUUCAGUUUGUUUACUCUUCUGCAAUAGUGAGAGGAGAGGUAAAUAUCCAGUUGAUAGACAACAAGGGCAGAUAUGGGGAAACCAAAGACAUGUUGCUAAGGCUGACUCUAUAUCAUCCAAACCUGGGAGAUUUGGGGAAUGAAAGAACUGAGCCCACAGACAAGAACCAGAUCAUCCCAGGGAAGCUGGGACUUAUGGUCACCCUGAAAAGAAAUGGCAGCUAGGCGACAAAACCCAUGUCUUCAGACUUAAGUCUAAAUCAGUUUAUAUUGGAUACGUAUUCAAUCUAAUACUUGUGGAAUUUGGAUUUAGUGGUAUGAAAAUAAACAUGGACAUAAGAGUAUGUUUCCUAAGUAAAAUGUUUCUAACAAGAAAUGUUCAGUUAUCAUUAUCUGUUGGAUGUUAGGCAAGACACUAAGCUUCUCUGCACUUCAGUUUUCUCAUCUUUAAAAAGGGGAAAAUAAUAGCAGUUACUUCAUGGGUUUACUAUAAGGAUUAAAUCAGUUACUACAGGUAGAAAAGUACUUGAUAUCUAGCACUAUUAAAUAAAUGUCACCUAUUAUUUUUAAUACUGUAUUUGUAAAGAUAUUUUGCAAAAUACAGUGGCUCUAAGAAUUUGACAGGAGGCGUAUUACUUUGUACCUCUCAAUUGCCAUGUAUUUUACUGAAUGAUUAUGAAGAGAAUGUUUUCUGGAUGUAUGGAAUAUCCCAAGUUCUUGUUUUUUGUUCGUUUGUUUGCUUGUGUUUUAACAAAUAGCACUAUUCUGGUCCAACAGGUAAAAUCAGCUCCUCAGUGUCUCCAAGGACAGGAAUGCCAUGGGCUGGGAGGCGCCAUGGGUGAACAGACUUCCCUACUUCCUGCCUCCCCAAGGGUGGGGAGCAGUCUAGGGGAUGGCUGUACUCCUGGGCCCAGUGUCUAAGUGAAAAUUAGGAGGAAAUGGAGGGAGGGUGGCGAGCGAGGACAGACUGGCCAAGGUCCCCCGCAGCCACUCCUGAAGUCCUCACGAGGGAGAAGCAGCCUCUCCUUCCAGCCUUCCCCAAGUCCUCCCUAAGAGUGUAUUCUACUGGUUUCUGUGCAGAUUUUUUUCGGCUGCGACCAAUAGUAGCUUAAACAUGGAUUAUUUUCUUUUUAAUUUCUUCCUGCAAAAUUCUUAGGAAACCAUUAAUAAAAGUAAUAUACAUGUGAAAUAAUAAUCUUGGAAACAUCCCUUCUUAAUGCUUAUGUAACUGUGUUAUGGUCGUGUCCCAUCUAGACUAAGUAAAUUAAAAUCUUAGCCCAGAUGAGAUGUAAGCAAAGGCAAGAAGAAACUUUGAUACCUACCAAAUCAUUCCUUGGUUGUAGACUAAAUGUAGCACAUUCUCAGCUAUUUUGAAUUCUCCAUAUUCAGGCUACAAGAGAAAAUAAACUUGUGCAUUAAACAAG
rnacentral:lncRNA from 1 species